rnacentral:rRNA from 1 species
GGGUGAGUAACGCGUGGGUGACCUGCCUUCGAGUGGGGGAUAACGUUCCGAAAGGGACGCUAAUACCGCAUGACAUCCUGCCUUUGAAGAGGCGGAGAUCAAAGCUGGGGAUCGCAAGACCUAGCGCUCGAUGAGGGGCCCGCGUCUGAUUAGCUAGUUGGUGGGGUAACGGCUCACCAAGGCAACGAUCAGUAUCCGGCCUGAGAGGGCGGACGGACACACUGGGACUGAGACACGGCCCAGACUCCUACGGGAGGCAGCAGUGGGGAGUUGUUCGCAAUGGGCGCAAGCCUGACGACGCAACGCCGCGUGGAGGAUGAAGAUCUUCGGGUCGUAAACUCCUUUCGAUCGAGACGAACAGUCUCCGGGUGAACAAUCCGGAGGUUUGACGGUACCGAGAGAAGAAGCCCCGGCUAACUCCGUGCCAGCAGCCGCGGUAAUACGGGGGGGGCAAGCGUUGUUCGGAAUUACUGGGCGUAAAGGGCUCGUAGGCGGCCAACUAAGUCAGACGUGAAAUCCCUCGGCUUAACCGGGGAACUGCGUCUGAUACUGGAUGGCUUGAGUUUGGGAGAGGGAUGCGGAAUUCCAGGUGUAGCGGUGAAAUGCGUAGAUAUCUGGAGGAACACCGGUGGCGAAGGCGGCAUCCUGGACCAACACUGACGCUG